UUGACUUUUAUUUUAAAAAUCUAUAAAGUAAUACAAACGGGUGAUGGUGAUGAAACGAUGGUGUAAAUUUUUUUACACUGACAGUGUAUUUCAAUUAAUCUCAUAAUAGAUUAUGUACUUCACAUAAAAACUAAAAUAAAUCGUAUAUUAUAAAAAAUAAAUAAUAAAAACCAUUCCUAAAAACAAAUUAUAAAAAACAAAAGAAUAAAAAACAUUCCUAAACAAAAUAAUA
rnacentral:lncRNA from 1 species